UGCUAGCUUGCUAAUAAUUCUCUAGUGGCGCACGGGUGAGUAACACGUGAGUAACCUGCCCCCAAGAGUGGGAUAGCCCCGGGAAACUGGGAUUAAUACCGCAUAAAAUCGCAAGAUUAAAGCAGCAAUGCGCUUGGGGAUGGGCUCGCGUCCUAUUAGUUAGUUGGUGAGGUAACGGCUCACCAAGGCGAUGACGGGUAGCCGGUCUGAGAGGAUGUCCGGCCACACUGGAACUGAGACACGGUCCAGACACCUACGGGUGGCAGCAGUCGAGAAUCAUUCACAAUGGGGGAAACCCUGAUGGUGCGACGCCGCGUGGGGGAAUGAAGGUCUUCGGAUUGUAAACCCCUGUCAUGUGGGAGCAAAUUAAAAAGAUAGUACCACAAGAGGAAGAGACGGCUAACUCUGUGCCAGCAGCCGCGGUAAUACAGAGGUCUCAAGCGUUGUUCGGAAUCACUGGGCGUAAAGCGUGCGUAGGCGGUUUCGUAAGUCGUGUGUGAAAGGCGGGGGCUCAACCCCCGGACUGCACAUGAUACUGCGAGACUAGAGUAAUGGAGGGGGAACCGGAAUUCUCGGUGUAGCAGUGAAAUGCGUAGAUAUCGAGAGGAACACUCGUGGCGAAGGCGGGUUCCUGGACAUUAACUGACGCUGAGGCACGAAGGCCAGGGGAGCGAAAGGGAUUAGAUACCCCUGUAGUCCUGGCAGUAAACGGUGCACGCUUGGUGUGCGGGGAAUCGACCCCCUGCGUGCCGGAGCUAACGCGUUAAGCGUGCCGCCUGGGGAGUAC
rnacentral:rRNA from 1 species